rnacentral:rRNA from 1 species
GCAUAUCAAUAAGCGGAGGAAAAGAAACCAACAGGGAUUGCCCUAGUAACGGCGAGUGAAGCGGCAACAGCUCAAAUUUGAAAUCUGGCGCAAGCCCGAGUUGUAAUUUGUAGAGGAUGCUUCUAGGUAGCGACCGGUCUAAGUUCCUUGGAACAGGACGUCAUAGAGGGUGAGAAUCCCGUAUGUGACUGGCCCGCACCUUCUACGUAGCUCCUUCGACGAGUCGAGUUGUUUGGGAAUGCAGCUCUAAAUGGGAGGUAAAUUUCUUCUAAAGCUAAAUACCGGCCAGAGACCGAUAGCGCACAAGUAGAGUGAUCGAAAGAUGAAAAGCACUUUGGAAAGAGAGUUAAAAAGCACGUGAAAUUGUUGAAAGGGAAGCGCUCACAACCAGACUUCUGGGCGGUGUUCCGCCGGUCUUCUGACCGGUCUACUCACCGUCCCGAGGCCAACAUCAUCUGGGACCGCCGGAUAAGACCUUAGGAAUGUAGCUCCCCUCGGGGAGUGUUAUAGCCUGUGGUGAUGCGGCGCGUCUCGGGUGAGGUCCGCGCUUCGGCAAGGAUGUUGGCGUAAUGGUUGUCAGCGGCCCGUCUUGAAACACGGACCAAGGAGUCUAACAUCUAUGCGAGUGUUCGGGUGUCAAACCCCUACGCGUAAUGAAAGUGAACGGAGGUGGGAAGGGUAACCUGCACCAUCGACCGAUCCUGAUGUCCUCGGAUGGAUUUGAGUAAGAGCAUAGCUGUUGGGACCCGAAAGAUGGUGAACUAUGCCUGAAUAGGGUGAAGCCAGAGGAAACUCUGGUGGAGGCUCGCAGCGGUUCUGACGUGCAAAUCGAUCGUCAAAUUUGGGUAUAGGGGCGAAAGACUAAUCGAACCAUCUAGUAGCUGGUUCCUGCCGAA